UGGGGGAAUAUUGGACAAUGGGCGAAAGCCUGAUCCAGCCAUGCCGCGUGAGUGAUGAAGGCCUUAGGGUUGUAAAGCUCUUUCAGUAGGGAAGAUAAUGACGGUACCUACAGAAGAAGCCCCGGCCAACUUCGUGCCAGCAGCCGCGGUAAUACGAAGGGGGCUAGCGUUGUUCGGAUUUACUGGGCGUAAAGCGCACGUAGGCGGAUUGUUAAGUCAGGGGUGAAAUCCUGGAGCUCAACUCCAGAACUGCCUUUGAUACUGGCAAUCUAGAGUCCGGAAGAGGUGAGUGGAACUCCUAGUGUAGAGGUGGAAUUCGUAGAUAUUAGGAAGAACACCAGUGGCGAAGGCGGCUCACUGGUCCGGUACUGACGCUGAGGUGCGAAGCGUGGGGAGCAAACAGGAUUAGAUACCCUGGUAGUCCACGCCGUAAACUAUGAGAGCUAGCCGUUGGGGGAUUUAGUCCCUCAGUGGCGCAGCUAACGCAUUAAGCUCUCCG
rnacentral:rRNA from 1 species